GAACUGCGAUAAAUAAUGUGAAUUGCAGAAUUCAGUGAAUCAUCGAGUCUUUGAACGCACAUUGCGCCCCCUGGCAUUCCGGGGGGCAUGCCUGUCCGAGCGUCAUUGCUGCCCUUCAAGCCCGGCUUGUGUGUUGGGUCGUCGUCCCCUCCGGGGGACGGGCCCGAAAGGCAGCGGCGGCACCGCGUCCGGUCCUCGAGCGUAUGGGGCUUUGUCACCCGCUCGAUAAGGACCGGCCGGGCGCCAGCCGGCGUCUCCAACCUUUUUUUCUCAGGUUGACCUCGGAUCAGGUAGGGAUACCCGCUGAACUUAAGC
rnacentral:misc_RNA from 1 species